UGCCCGCGGGCACCAGGUCGCCCGCGGCGACCACAUCAGUCGGCCAUAGGCCAGUUCUAAAAAUAGUUUACAGUACACUGGUGAAGAGCAUGCAAUGCCAGGCUUCCCACUAACAUUAAUGUUCAGUGUCUUCACAUAGAAUAUCAUUAAUAAAAAUAUAAAAUUAAAGGUA